GCCAUGCCUCUGUUUUGAGUUUUGCUUGUAAGCUUUGAUUUUGAAUUUUCAUUAUGUGUUUUUAUUUUCUGAUCUUUCCUCCUCCUGUUUGUAUUCUAUGUUUUCAUUUGUUUACUGCGUUUGAAUUCUUUUAUUUUUCAAAAAAUUUCUUGGUAUUCUGCGUAUUUUAGUUCUGUUGGUGGUGAUUUUUUAAUGGCGCAUGGAGGCAGGCAACUGCAGCAAGGAGAACUAUACAUUCGACCCAGUGAUUAAUUGGAGAUGCAGCCCCAAAAUACUUGGAUACAGUAUAAGCACUGGUAAUGAUAAGGAAAAGGAGAAAAAUAAGCACUGGCAAUGAUGAGGAGGAGGAGAAGAAAAGAAUCAGAAUUACAUAUGACAAUUAUUAGGAAUUACAUCAGGGUACAGUAUAAGCACUGGUAAUGAUAAGGAAAAGGAGAAAAAUAAGCACUGUCAAGGAUGAGGAGGAGGAGAAAAGAAUCAGAAUUACAUGUGACAAUUAUCAGGAAUUACACCAGUUGCAAGGAAGGAUCAAAAGGAUAACCAAUGGAUUCAACAUCAAGCUCGAUAAACCAGGUGAAACCAGAGUUGCGCAAUUGAAGUCUCAUUUUGUGCAAUUGGAG